GGUGGGCAUACUGCCAAUGGAGCUCUGUUGGUAUCUCUUUGUAAAACUCUCGUGAUGAUACUAUAUUGUUAACAUCUCACACUUCUCUUAUUACACACCAAAAUCAGGUAACAUUACAAUCUCCCUUAUGUCUUUUUGUAAUGAUUCUUUGCAAAAAGAAGAGAUCAUCAUUAAAAGCUUCCACAUUUACUUCUCAUGUUGGAUAAAUGGAACGUUGAGAUAGUUUGCUCAAUCAUGUCUUUGUCGGUGAUUUGUUCACCACAUAAUUCAAGCUCAGAGGUGAUGCGAAGAAGGGCAGAGUUGUACUCACUAACAGUCCUAUGGUCUCGUAGCCUUAAAUGAACCCACUUGUAGCGAGUUUUAGAGAGGAAGACCAACUUCAGGUCUUCAUGAAGAUGAAGGCGAAGGAAUGUCAUGGCUUUAGUUUUUCUUGAAGGGACGUUUUAUUCCCAUCAAUGAUUGUCUCCCCUAGACUCAUUGCUUCCAGAUGGGUUUUAGCAUCAAAAGCCCACGAGGGGUAGUUGUUGUCCGAGAUUUCAAGUGCAGUGAAUUCAAGAUUUGAUAAGUUCGACAUUUUGUCUAUAAAGGAAAAAGACAUGCGUUUAAUAACAAGCAUGUGUAUAUGAUGGAUACUAUAG
rnacentral:lncRNA from 1 species